CGGCGUGCCUGACACAUGCAAGUCGUACGAGAAAGUUGGCUUCGGCCGAUGAGUACAGUGGCGCACGGGUGAGUAACGCGUGGAUAAUCUGCCCUUAAGUGUGGAAUAACGUACCGAAAGGUGCGCUAAUACCGCAUAAUGCCUGGCAACAUAAGUUGUCCGGCCAAAGAAGGCCUCUGCUUGCAAGCUUUCGCUAAAGGAUGAGUCCGCGUACCAUUAGCUAGUUGGUGGGGUAACGGCCUACCAAGGCGACGAUGGUUAGCUGGUCUGAGAGGAUGAUCAGCCACACUGGAACUGAGACACGGUCCAGACUCCUACGGGAGGCAGCAGUGAGGAAUAUUGCGCAAUGGGGGCAACCCUGACGCAGCAACGCCGCGUGAGUGAGGAAGGUUUUCGGACUGUAAAGCUCUGUCGAGCGGGAAGAAGUGUACCAUGGCUAAUAUCCAUGAUAUUUGACGGUACCGCUAGAGGAAGCACCGGCUAACUCCGUG
rnacentral:rRNA from 1 species